rnacentral:misc_RNA from 1 species
GGACAAUAUACUCUAGACCAAGUUUCCUUUGGUGCGAAUUUAUAUUGAUUAUCUUAUGAAUGCAUAACAUAAGAGGAAAAUGUAUAAUGUACAUUACCUGCAUUGAUCUUGUUGUUUACUCUUAGUAACUUAACUUUAAAGAUGAAAUAUAUGUGAGUCCUUUUAGUGGCAAUAUGUGAUUAUCAACUUCAUUUGCGUUAGAUUUUACAUGUUAUCUAAGUCACUAAGAAGAAAAAUGCCUCGUGAAGGUGUUGAAUCGUGCUUUUGGUUGCUAAAAAGCUAGAAAACGUGGAAGUUUUAUUAUUUUCUAUAUGUGCAAUGCAAGACCAAAUAACUCAUUGUCUAACGUAGGUUGUUGGUAUUGGAUGUGUAUAUUAAAAGAUAGCAUAAAGGAAUCGAAGAACCACACAUGCUAAAACAAGGUAGUGAACUUUAAAAAGAAGGAAAAACAAGUGACUUUAAGAAUGAGUUGCUAAAGAAUGAAACUCGAAUUCUAACAACUAAACCUCAAUCCCAAACUUGCAGCUCUAUUUGAAGCCAAUUUCGUAUCAAUAGUAAAAAAUUAUAAAUAUUUAAAUAUUAC